AAUAUAAAGCCUACGGCUGACUGGCAUUUGGGUAACGAAACAGAAUUGUAACUUACUAAAAUAAAGUUUUAAGUACGUAUUAAUAAUGAUAAUAUGUAUAAAAGUCUUGACCAAUUACGUGCCAGCAGUCGCGGUAAUACGUAGGAGACGAGCAUUAUUCAUAUUAAAUAGGUUUAAAGGGUACCCAAACGGUCAAAAUACCUGAAAUAUAGGAGUACUUGACUAGAGUUAUAUGUAAGAAGACCGUACUUGAGGUGGAGAGAUUAUAUUUUAUGAUACCAAAAGGACUGAUAACGGCGAAGGCUGUCUUUUAUGUAAUAACUGACGUUGAAGGACGAAGGCAUAGAUAACUAACAGGAUUCGUUACCCUAGUAGUCUUUGCAGACAAUGAUGAAUGCCAUUAACUAGAUACUAAUUUUAGUUAUAUAAAUGAAAAUGAAAGCAUUUCACCUCAAGAGUAAUGUGGCAACGCAGGAACUGAAAUCACUAGACCGUUUCUGACACCAGUAGUGAAGUAUGUUAUUUCAUCCCGAUGAUCCGCAAGGCAGGAACUGAAAUCACUAGACCGUUUCUGACACCAGUAGUGAAGUAUGUUAUUUAAUUCGAUGAUCCGCA
rnacentral:rRNA from 1 species